rnacentral:rRNA from 1 species
UGAGGAAUAUUGGUCAAUGGGCGAGAGCCUGAACCAGCCAAGUCGCGUGAGGGAGUACUGCCCUAUGGGUUGUAAACCUCUUUUGUCGGGGAGCAAAAGCCGGACGUGCCCGUCUGUGAGAGUACCCGAAGAAAAAGCAUCGGCUAACUCCGUGCC